rnacentral:lncRNA from 1 species
AGAUUUUUUUUUUUUUUUUUUUAAGAUAUAGGUAACACGUUACCCGUUUCGUUUAUUUCAUUUUAAAAAUAAAUUUAGCUGAAAAUGUGAAUCAACUAGGAUUCGAACUUGGGACCUCGGGUACCAACUAUCGAGUCUUUUGCCACUUGCUUUAAGGACGGUCCGUAUCACAGAUUUUGUUUCCGAACAAAUCAAACAACUAUUUUACAGUAAAAUCAAAUAUCGUAAUUGCAAAAAUGAAAUGUAUUUACCGUUUGGUUCGGGUAUAAACAAGAACUAGCUAUUUCAGGGAUAGGUAUAAGUAUGGGGAUAAGAAAAAUAGCGUUUGGAUACAAAUUAGGUUGUUCCCGGAAAUAAGAAUAAUAUUAGGUAGUUUUAUAUAGAAAAUGAAGGUGUUGUUGGAAAUAACCGAGAACUACAAUUCUCGGAUAAAAAAUUAACGUUUGGAUAUAAAGAGGGGAUAAGGAUCUAUCCCUAUUCCUAUUCCUAUCCCCUAACCAAACGCUGCUAAAAGUAUGUCAAAGUUCACAAGUUGAACUGUGUGAGAAAAAGUACAGAGAUCAACUUACAAUAUUAGAAUAGUACACUAACUGACAAUACACUUUGGCUGCGUUUGGUUCGGGUAUAAGUAAGAACUGCUAGUUCUAGAGAUAGGUACAAGUUCAGAUAUAAGCAGGAACUAGACCAAUUUUGCGUUUGGAUGAAAAUUGGGUUGUUCCUAGGAAUAAGGUAAAUAGUGCUUGGAUGAUUAGAUUGGAACAAGAGGAAUAAACGUUAUAAUUUGAAAUUAAAAUUAUAUUAUGUAAUUAAUUAACAUAAAAAUAUUACUUAAAAAUAAAUAAAAAAUUAAUUAUUAAUAAUUAAUUAUAAAUAAUAAUUAAUAUUAAUAAUUAAUUAUAAAUAAUAAAUUAUUAAUAACGAUUAUCUAAUUAAUAAUAAUUAUUAUUAUUAUUAAUUAUUAAUAAAUAAUAAUAAUUAUUAAUUAUUCUUAUUAAUUAAUUAUAAAUAAUAAAUUAUUAAUAAUAUUGAUUAUCUAAUUAUUAAUAAUAAUUAAUAUUAAUAUUUAUUAAUAAAUAAUAAUAAUAAUUAUUAAUAAUUAAUUAUAAAUAAUAAAUUAAUAAUAACAUCGAUUAUCUAAUUAUUAAGAAUAAUAAUUAUUAAUUAAUUAUUAAUAAAUAAUAAUAUUAAUUAUUAAUUAUUAAUUAUAAAUAAUAUAUUAAUAAUAAUAUCGAUUAUCAUUAAGAAUAAUAAUUAUUAAUAAUUAUUAAUAAAAAAUUAAUAAAUAUUAUUAAUUAUUAAUAAUUAAUUAUAAAUAAUAAAUUAAUAAUAAUUAUUAUCUAAUUAUUAAUAAUUAAUUAUAAAUAAUAAAUUAUUUAAUUAUUUAAUUAUUAAAAUAAUAAAUAAUAAUUUAAAUAUAUUAAUUAGAUUAAUUAAUAAUUUACUGUCAUUAAAAUUAAAUUUAGAUUUUAAUUAAUCUUGUUCUCAUCAAGGAACAAGCUUGUUCCAGGAAACGGGUGGAACAGCAGUUCCAGCCUUAUUCCAGCUAGUUCCAGAUUUCCGGAAACUACUGUUCCCGGGAGCCAAACAUAGCGUUUGGGAAUAAAAGGGGGAAC